rfam:Jatropha curcas cultivar GZQX0401 scaffold328_56, whole genome shotgun sequence.
GAUGCAAGUGAUGAUAAACUAGACAGGGACAUCAGCUAUUCCUUCGGGAAAAUGAUGACUUAGUCUAAAAUGGGAAUCUCUCUGAUGCAUU